AUUGAACGCUGGCGGCAGGCCUAACACAUGCAAGUCGAACGAGCGGCGGACGGGUGAGUAAUGUAUGGGGACUGCCCGGUAGAGGGGGAUAACUACUGGAAACGGUGGCUAAUACCGCAUACUAUCGGAUAACCCAUAUGGGAUUAGCUAGUAGGUGGGGUAAAGGCUCACCUAGGCGACGAUCCCUAGCUGGUCUGAGAGGAUGAUCAGCCACACUGGGACUGAGACACGGCCCAGACUCCUACGGAGGCAGCAGUGGGGAAUAUUGGACAAUGGGCGAAAGCCUGAUGCAGCCAUGCCGCGUGUAUGAAGAAGGCCUUAGGGUUGUAAAGUACUUUCAGCAGGGAGGCGGUAUCCGCAGAAUAAGCACCGGCUAACUCCGUGCCAGCCGCCGCGGUAAUUC
rnacentral:rRNA from 1 species